GAGCAGGAAAACAAACAAAAAAGAUUCCAAGACUUUUGGGAAAGAAUGUAAAUUCUUAUGCUUCAGGGCGUAAGUCUGUGGAUUAGAAGGAAAUUUUCCCUGUGGAUAAUGGGAACAAGGUUUAAAAGUGAUGGAGCGGAAUAAUGGCGUUACAGCAAUAAUAUAUCUUGCCUUUGUGAGGAAUAGAACUUUACGGCCUAUUUCAGGUCAGCCAACACCAAUUCCAUUUUUCACAGCCUGACAACUUUCACCUUCACCCACAUUCCAGGUGGGUAUUAAAAACUACUUUCCAAACAAGGCUGAGGUUUGGCUGAACCAGUGCUCUAAACCUGGGGAAAACCCUUGUAACACUAAAAAUCUGAGUAAAAUAAUGAAAAAAA